GUGAAAUUAAAGGCAAUAAAAUAAUUAACAAAAUAUGCCAAUUACUUCAGGAAACCUUAAAUGGUCUGAAGAGUUGAAGGGAUGAAUACAGACGUUUUGGUCUUCUCAGAUCUGUCUCACCCAGUCUUAGAAAUUCCUGAAUCUGCUUUUAUUUAUCAGAAAUAUGUAGAGAUGUUGAAAUUCCUUGACCUGUAUGAAGAUCAGGCCUAUUGUGAAUGGAAAGUUCAGCUAGUGACUCUAUUGAGAGAGGUGAAAUAUUUCCUGAUGUUGAACCAAGCCAGUAUUCUAGAUUCUGCUUUAGCAAUGUAUGAGAAAAGGAACAGUUUUGCAAAGGUAGAAUAUCCUCUGACAGAAAAAGAGCUGAAAGCUACUGAUGACCAGCUGAAAAAAGCAGAAGAAAUGCAUGUGGCAGAUGGCAACCUGCUGGGACUGUAUCAAACAAGUGAAAACGUCAGCGUGCGAUUUAGAGCAAAGAGUUCAGCAAUCAAACGAUAA
rnacentral:lncRNA from 1 species